rnacentral:rRNA from 1 species
GACGAACGCUGGCGGCGUGCCUAACACAUGCAAGUCGAACGGGGUAAUCCUUCGGGAUUACUUAGUGGCGAACGGGUGAGUAACGCGUGAGAAACCUGCCUCUCAGUGGGGGACAACAGUUGGAAACGACUGCUAAUACCGCAUAACACUUUAGUACCGCAUGGUACAGAAGUCAAAGCUUUAUCGGCAAAGGAUGGGCCUGCGUCUGAUUAGCUAGUUGGUGGGGUAACGGCCUACCAAGGCGACGAUCAGUAGCCGACCUGAGAGGGUGAUCGGCCACAUUGGAACUGAGACACGGUCCAAACUCCUACGGGAGGCAGCAGUGGGGAAUAUUGCACAAUGGGCGAAAGCCUGAUGCAGCAACGCCGCGUGAAGGAAGAAGGUCUUCGGGAUCGUAAACUUCUGUCCUUAGGGAAGAUAAUGACGGUACCUUUGGAGGAAGCCCCGGCUAACUACGUG